rnacentral:rRNA from 1 species
GACGAACGCUGGCGGCGUGCUUAACACAUGCAAGUCGAACGAUGAAGAAGAGCUUGCUCUUCGGGUUAGUGGCGAACGGGUGAGUAACACGUGACUAACCUGCCCCUUUCUCUGGGAUAACGCUCCGAAAGGAGUGCUAAUACCGGAUACUCACAUCGAGGCACAUGCCUUGAUGUGGAAAGUUUUUCGGAAAGGGAUGGAGUCGCGGCCUAUCAGCUUGUUGGUGAGGUAACGGCUCACCAAGGCGACGACGGGUAGCCGGCCUGAGAGGGCGACCGGCCACACUGGGACUGAGGCACGGCCCAGACUCCUACGGGAGGCAGCAGUGGGGAAUAUUGCACAAUGGGCGAAAGCCUGAUGCAGCGACGCCGCGUGAGGGAUGAAGGUCUUCGGAUUGUAAACCUCUUUCAGUAGGGACGAAGCGAAAGUGACGGUACCUAAAGAAGAAGCACCGGCUAACUACGUGCCAGCCGCCGCAGUAA